rnacentral:rRNA from 1 species
AUUGAACGCUAACGGCGUGCUUAACACAUGCAAGUCGAGCGGCAGCAUGACUGUAGCAAUACAGUUGAUGGCGAGCGGCGGACGGGUGAGUAAUGCAUAGGAAUCUGCCUUGUAGUGGGGGAUAACCCGGGGAAACUCGGGCUAAUACCGCAUAAUCUCUACGGAGCAAAGUGGGGGACCUUCGGGCCCUACGCUAAAAGAUGAGCCUAUGUUGGAUUAGCUAGUUGGUAGGGUAAAGGCCUACCAAGGCAACGAUCCAUAGCUGGUCUGAGAGGAUGAUCAGCCACACUGGGACUGAGACACGGCCCAGACUCCUACGGGAGGCAGCAGUGGGGAAUAUUGGACAAUGGGCGAAAGCCUGAUCCAGCAACGCCGUGUGUGUGAAGAAGGCCUUCGGGUUGUAAAGCACUUUUAGUGGGGAAGAAAAGUUCAUGGCUAAUAUCCGUGAAUGCUGACGUUACCCACAGAAAAAGCACUGGCUAACUCUGUGCCAGCCGCCGCCGUAA